rnacentral:rRNA from 1 species
UGGGGAAUUUUGGACAAUGGGCGAAAGCCUGAUCCAGCCAUUCCGCGUGCAGGAUGAAGGCCCUCGGGUUGUAAACUGCUUUUGUACAGAACGAAAAAGCUCUGGUUAAUACCUGGAGUCCAUGACGGUACUGUAAGAAUAAGCACCGGCUAACUACGUGCCAGCAGCCGCGGUAAUACGUAGGGUGCAAGCGUUAAUCGGAAUUACUGGGCGUAAAGCGUGCGCAGGCGGUGAUGUAAGACAGUUGUGAAAUCCCCGGGCUCAACCUGGGAACUGCAUCUGUGACUGCAUCGCUGGAGUGCGGCAGAGGGGGAUGGAAUUCCGCGUGUAGCAGUGAAAUGCGUAGAUAUGCGGAGGAACACCGAUGGCGAAGGCAAUCCCCUGGGCCUGCACUGACGCUCAUGCACGAAAGCGUGGGGAGCAAACA